CGACUCUCGGCAACGGAUAUCUCGGCUCUCGCAUCGAUGAAGAACGUAGCGAAAUGCGAUACUUGGUGUGAAUUGCAGAAUCCCGUGAACCAUCGAGUCUUUGAACGCAAGUUGCGCCCGAAGCCCUCGUGCCAGGGCACGUCUGUCUGGGCGUCACGCA
rnacentral:rRNA from 1 species